UUCACUCGUCCACCCGCCUGGGCCAACUUGCCCGCGACUCAGGGUGUGUCUGGACUCCACUUCCUUCAAUGCCAAAGGAAAAUGUCUAUAAUCUCACUCUUCAGCGGGAAGCGUUUGGACUCCGCGGUGGUCCUUGACUACACACACCGAAAUGCCCACCGGGAUCGUAUCCCAUAUCUCUGAGCGCCUGAUGGGGAAUGUGGAUUGUGACCCUGACUGGAUGAAAUGUAUCAUCAGCAUGGAUUCUGUGAUAAAUUACAAGGUACAAACUCAAAGGGAACUGCUUUCUAUGUGCCUCAUAUUUUAAUGCUUCUCCCCUUUGCGAAUGCUUAGGUGAGACUGUAGUCAUGAAACUGAAUAAAGACUUUAUUACAAACAUUACUGAGGCUUCUCUCCAAUGUGGACAUUCUGAAGUUGAAGACUUGAGGCCUGAAUGAAGAACAUACCACCCUCCUCAUACUUCCAUAGUUUCUCUCCCGUGUGGAGCUUCUGAAGCAUAAUAAUAUUCAAGUGAUCCAGCAAUUCUACUACUGGGUAUAUCCAAAUGAAAGGAAAUGAGUAUGUCGAGGAGAUAUCUACACUCCCAGGUUCUUUGUAACACUACUCACAAUAGCCAAGAUAUGGAAUCCACCUAAGUGUCUAUCAAUACAUGAAUGAAGAAAAGGUGGCAUAUAUACACAAUGGAAUCCUCUUUAGACAUAACAAGGAAACAAAAUUUUAUCAUUUGUGGCAACAUGGAUGAGUUUUCAAGGACAUUGUUAAUAUAAGCCAAGCAAAGAAAGAGAAAUACUGUCAUCACUCAUAUGGAAGUCAAAAAAAGUUGAUUUUGUAGUAGAGAGUAGAACAGUGGAUGUAGACAGGCAAGGAAGUGUAGGAGGUAGGUGAGAUGGCCAAAGGCUGGCUAACAGAUAGAAAAGAGGUAGAGGGGAAGAAUAAGUUCUACUGUUCUGCAGCACUAAAGGUGACUAUCAUCAACAAUUAUUUAAAAAUUGCUAAAAAUGUGUUGUAGUCUCACAAAUGCACCACACUGUAGCAGUCUCUCUUGUGAUGUAUCCCCCGGAGUUCUUAAUCUCACGUCCAAUAUGAUUAAGAAGCACAGACACAAGGGUGAAAUUGGAGUAAAAGUUUAAUAAGUGAAAGAAAAAAGCUCUUCACAGUGGAGAUGGGGAUCCAAAUAAGUUGCCCAGUAUGAGGCUGGGGUCUGGGGUUUGUAUGGACUGGGAAGGGGAAGGAAUGCACUUAGCCUGCGGGCUGUCUUGGAGAAAGCGUGAUUCAGCUUGGUCUGGGACCUUGGCCCGGGACCAAUCAGGAACUGAAGUGAUGAUUCAUAAGGGCUAUUCAGCUUGGCCUGGGACCAAUCAGGAGCUGAAGUGAUAAUUUACAGAGGCUGGGCUUUUCCUUUUCCACAAAAGAAAGUGCCAACCUGAACCUACUGAAGCCCACUGUGUUCAUGCCCACAAAAGAAGAAACUUUUUCCUGGGAGCUGCUGAUUAUACAAAGGACAAAGGCAUUUCUGUGUCAGGUCUUUUUCCCUUAACUGAAUGAGCCGGAGGUUUGUGUGACUUUUUACCUGAAUGGGCUGGAGGUUCUUCUAUCUGUGCAGCCACGGGCAUGUCUCCAGGCACAAUCCCCUGUGCUAGUUCCCUUAUCAGUGCCUGUAGCUUGAUUUUCUUCCCCAGACUGCUUUUUAUGUUGUGUGGGGAUGAGGCACUGACCCGUUUGGUGGGGGGUCUCCAGGGACCCUUCCCUUGCUGUCUACCAACUCCUCUCAAAUGGAUUUUGAAUUUUCCAACACAAAGAAAUGGUAAAUGUUUGAGGUAACAGAUACACCAAUUACACUGAUUGGAUCACUAUAAAUUAUAUGCACACAUUAAAAUAUCACAUUGUACCCCAUAAAUAUGAACAAUUAUGUGUCAUUUAGAAAUAAUGAUAAAAGUAUAUCCAGAUUCAAGCGCCUCUUAUAGCGUAUCCCACAAUCCUCACAUUUGGAUGGGUUUUCCCCACUAUAGUCUCUCGGCUGGUCUUUACGGUAUGUCCUGUGUACAAGCCUCUUUCCACAGUCCUCACAUUUGAAUGGUUUUUUCUGGCAGUGGAGUCUCUUAUGAUUCAAAAUACUUGAGGCCCGGCUAAAGCUCUUCCCACAUUCCUUACAAUUAUAAGGUCUCUCUCCCGUGUGGACCCUCUGGUGCAAGUCAAGAUUAAACUUAGUAACAUAGCCCUUCCCACACUCCUCACAUUUAUAUGGCUUUUCACCAUUGUGGGAUCUCUGAUGGGAAGACAGUUGUGAAUUUGUAUAAAAUCCCUUCCCACAUUCUUCACAUUUGAAGGUUUUUUCUCCACUGUGGACUCGCUGAUGGUUCAAAAGGCAUGAGGACCAUCUGAAGCUCUUCCCACAUUCUUUACAAUUAUAUGGUUUCUCUCCUGUGUGGACCACCUGAUGCUUAUAAAAAUCUAGCCUACCAAUGAAGCCUUUUCCACACUGCUC
rnacentral:antisense_RNA from 1 species